UACGGAGGAUGCAAGCGUUAUCCGGAAUGAUUGGGCGUAAAGCGUCCGCAGGUGGCAAUGUAAGUCUGCUGUCAAAGCGUCUGGCUCAACCAGAUAAAGGCAGUGGAAACUACAUAGCUAGAGUAAGGUAGGGGUAGAGGGAAUUCCUGGUGUAGCGGUGAAAUGCGUAGAUAUCGUGGAGAACACCCGUGGCGAAGGCGGGCUUCUGGCUAAUUACUGACGCUGAGGUGCGAAAGCUAGAGGAGCGAACGGG
rnacentral:rRNA from 1 species